rnacentral:pre_miRNA from 1 species
UGAGAACUGAAUUCCAUAGGCUUUAAAAGACAAAAAAAGCCCUAUGGAUUCAGUUCUGUA